rnacentral:tRNA from 3 species
AGGGACUUAGGUUAACACCAGACCAAGGGCCUUCAAAGCCCUAAGCGAGAGUGAAAAUCUCCCAGUUCCUG